rnacentral:lncRNA from 1 species
UAAUUAUCAAGUUAAAAUGUCAAAGUUGAGUAAAAAAUAUAUAAGUAUCAAAAUGAAUUUAGCUGCCAAGUUUAGGGGCCAAAAAUUAUUGUAAGGCCCAAAUUUUACCCGGGGCCCAAUAAAACCAAACCUAAUUUCAACCUUAGCCCGAGCCCAAAUAAAAAAAAAUCUAAAAAAAUAAUAAAACAGUCCAAUUAAUAAUACAUGGCCCAAAUUAAAAUCCCCAUCAGCCCACAACCUAAACUAACCCUACCAGCCCAAAAUCUCAAAAAUUUUCAGCAGACUACAAACUCAACCCCCACGUCAGCACUCUAGACAGGAUCCCCCUAUACCCCGCUCCAUGUCCAUGUUUCUUCAACACCUACAAUUGGAGCAAAGAAAUAGGUAGAAAAUGUAUGGUUUUUGGCUAUAAAGCCUUCAAUUUUUCAUAGUAAAGGGGAUCCAAAAAUUGUAUCACUCGCGUAUUUUUCAAGGAAUCAAACAAAAAACACACAGAAGGUUGAUCUCCGAUUUUGUUCUCUUUAUUUUCGUUUUUCGUUUUCUUGCUUCUUUAAUAUUUCUUUUAUUUUUUAUACAAAUCUAUUAAACAAAGAUACAAAAAAGAAAAAAAUAAAAGGAAAGAGGAAGGAUUCUCACCAAAUUCGGCCCCGUCGCCGCGUUAUCGGAGCCUUCCCCUCCGUUCGGCGUGGUUGAGUCUAAAAAGGGGGUUGAACCCUUGUCUUUUCGUUUUUGGAGCUAGCCUCCAACAAGUAAAAAAUGGGAGAGCUAAAGGAGCCCAUUUUGGUGUAUCGUCGGCCACCGAGUGCGGUGGUGGCGCGACGGUUGAAGGGCGGCAAUGAUGGGUUUCUUUGAAACCCUAGCAGAAAAUAAAAGAGAAGGAAAAGGGGGAGAGAGCAAGGAAGCUCUCUGUUCUUUUUGUUUAAAGUUUGUUCUUUUUGUUUAAAGUUGGGGGAAGCUGGUAAUGGAAUAAUAAAAUAAAAAAUAAAAAAAGGGGAAAGUUGGUAAUGGAAUAAAAAAAGGAAAGUUUUUUUUUUUUGGUUUAAAU